GGGGGUGAUUGGUCUCGACUUCGGUCGCUUGACCAGGGGAAGCGAGCCGAGGAAGGCGACGAUGAUCUCGUUAACCACCCGUCGCAAACCACAAAUGCCGACGCUAAGCGCGGCGACUUCGCUCUCGCUGCCUAAUCGCAGCUAGGCGAGUCUGUCAGCCCGGGUUCGUCAUCGGCCCGGAUCCUGGCAUCAGCUAGAUGACUCACCGUCCGUACCGGUCGCGGGUGCGGAGGGGACAUCAAACAGCGACUGGGCCCGUCACAUCGAACAUGUCUGCGUGAUCGAUGGGGCCGAGUAGAGGCGAUAGCAGACUGCGCUCGGAGAAGCCCUGGCCAUACGUCGAAGGACGCGGGUUCGAUUCCCGCCACCUCCACCC
rnacentral:tmRNA from 1 species